GAUGAACGCUGGCGGCGUGCCUAAUACAUGCAAGUCGAGCGAACGGACGAGAAGCUUGCUUCUCUGAUGUUAGCGGCGGACGGGUGAGUAACACGUGGAUAACCUACCUAUAAGACUGGGAUAACUUCGGGAAACCGGAGCUAAUACCGGAUGAUAUUUUGAACCGCAUGGUUCAAAAGUGAAAGACGGUCUUGCUGUCACUUAUAGAUGGAUCCGCGCUGCAUUAGCUAGUUGGUAAGGUAACGGCUUACCAAGGCAACGAUGCAUAGCCGACCUGAGAGGAUGAUCGGCCACACUGGAACUGAGACACGGUCCAGACUCCUACGGGAGGCAGCAGUAGGGAAUCUUCCGAAAUGGGCGAAAGCCUGACGGAGCAACGCCGCGUGAGUGAUGAAGGUCUUCGGAUCGUAAAACUCUGUUAUUAGGGAAGAACAUAUGUGUAAGUAACUGUGCACAUCUUGACGGUACCUAAUCAGAAAGCCACGGCUAACUACGUG
rnacentral:rRNA from 1 species